UAGGGAAUCUUCCGCAAUGGGCGAAAGCCUGACGGAGCAACGCCGCGUGAGUGAUGAAGGUCUUCGGAUCGUAAAACUCUGUUAUUAGGGAAGAACAAAUGUGUAAGUAACUAUGCACGUCUUGACGGUACCUAAUCAGAAAGCCACGGCUAACUACGUGCCAGCAGCCGCGGUAAUACGUAGGUGGCAAGCGUUAUCCGGAAUUAUUGGGCGUAAAGCGCGCGUAGGCGGUUUUUUAAGUCUGAUGUGAAAGCCCACGGCUCAACCGUGGAGGGUCAUUGGAAACUGGAAGACUUGAGUGCAGAAGAGGAAAGUGGAAUUCCAUGUGUAGCGGUGAAAUGCGCAGGGAUAUGGAGGAACGCCAGUGGCGAAGGCGACUUUCUGGUCUGUAACUGACGCUGAUGUGCGAAAGCGUGGGGAUCAAACAGG
rnacentral:rRNA from 1 species